UGUACCUGCUUCUCCUCACGCACGUCACAUGUUUGUGUCUAGCGUUAACCCAGUGGCGGCCAAGCGGCGGCUUUUUGGAAAAGAAGCAAUAUUUCACCUCAUUGCAGCCUUUACCAUGUCACCUUUUCUAUCUGAAAGGGGCUUGUGAGAAAUGCUCCAAAUUUUCCUUACCAUCCUGCUGGUCAAUUGACAGUCUUUUACAGCUCUUAGCCUCAAAGUUGCUGUUGAACCUGGAAGCUGCUGUUUCCUCUGGGCUGUGGAAGACCACUGGACGGCUCUGCUGAGAUUUCGAGGAUAGCUGCUUCUGUUCAUCAAGUAAGGACCUCGCUGAUCCCAAAGGACUUGGAGUCUUCAACACCAACCAUGAGGAAGAGAUGAAAGGGAGAGGGCAAGAUGUCCAAGAAGUGCUGAGGGAGGAGCAGUGAAGCAGAUCCCAGCGAAAGUUGAAUGCCUAAGUGUAAAACUGAAAUCCUUUCCCUCUCCUCUUCAAAAAAAAUAAAAAAAAAAUAAAAACAUGGUUUGUAUUAUUAUUUGUACUGCACAGACUUGUUGGUCUGGCCCCAAAUGACUGCAGUAAAGGUGGGCGAAGGCUCUUCCUACAAAGGUCUGUUCAUUGUAGGUCAUCCACCCUCACAGAACAGGCCUGGAAACACAAGUGGACAAGAGGUUCCAUGAUCUGGAUAUCAGUGGGGCCUUCAAUUUCACAAUCAGCUCCUCUACUAAGUGAUACAAGAAUGAGGUCCUGCAGGAGUGGUCCUUGUUCAAGAACAUUGUCCUUACCGUGGUGAAUUAAGUUGAUUGUGACUACGAUCAACGAAGAAGAGUUAGGAGGAGGUCAUGAAUCUGCUGGAAAACAAGUUUGAUGAAUGGAUGAGUCCCCACCCCUGCCUGGGCCUAGUCAUCACCAUUUCAACUGUGAAGUUUGAACAUGAUUUUUCAACGAUGAACUAAUAAAGACAUCACUCAGAAAAACUCAA